GACUUACAUUGAUUGACAGACAUGAAAAUUCUCAGACUUUACCGAUCUUGCUUUAAAUUUACUUCACGGAUGGACUAAUAAUAAAAUAUUAGACUUUUUCUAACAAAAGUAGGUUCUCGCAAAACACACUAAAGUCUUUUGCAGCUCCAAACAAGAGAUUCUAGUGGCUUCAUAUUCGGUCUUUUCCCCUCUGUGAAUAAGAAGAGAACUAGCUCCCAGCAAGUCGGUAUCGGAUCCGGGUUCGCAUGGAUAUUGGGCCACAGAGCUCGGCCCUUGCCCAUUACAGAGCUCUACCUCAAGUGCAGAGUCCUCAGCCUAUUGGCCAAAACUCGGAACUAAUCCCUGCUGGGGUGAUCUUUUCUUUUCCAGUGAAAUGAAGAUUCGAAUGAUGCUGAGAGAAAGAAGGAAUUGAAGGACUAGAUCCAACAAAGGAAGGAUUCUUUGGAUGUUAAUCUAUAGGGACUACAAGCUAGUAUGUUUCUGAAACUGUUACAGAUGUUAUAUUUAACUACUACGGCCCGAGAUACAACCGGAUUAUACAAAGGGGUUUUAUUUAUUUUGUUCUACAAUGAAGGCAAAGAUUGAUGAAGCUGCAAGUUCAUGAAUGUGGUUUUCAUCUCGUCCUGCAAAAGCUUCUUCUUGCGAUGCCCAUCAAAAUGUUGAACCGU